GACUCCAAAAGCUAUCAAAACCAAAGUGGUCUGUGGGGCGAACGAGGCCAAUGACAUAUUUGUCGACAUCCACACGAGUCCUACUGGGGAACACUGUGGCCAGACGAAAACAAGAGACGCAAUCUCUAAAAGGUUUUAAUGGCCAGGGAUGUAGUUAGACAACAAGUGUGUUUACCAGCCAUUCGAGUUGGUGGGAAUGGAUCUUAUCGGCAAACGAACCGAGACAAAUCAGGACAAUCAAUACAUCUGUGUGAUGAUUGACUUUUUUACGAAAUGGCCACAGGCUUAUGCUCUUACAUCAAAGAGUGCCAAGGAAGUGGUCCAGUGUCUAAUUCAAUUUGUGUAUGAGUUCGAAGCCGCCAGAAGAAUACUGACAGAUCAGGGGAAAUAAUCAGUCAGUGCUGUCAACUCAUAAGUGUGUGAAAUACUUCCCAUGAAAAGAAGCCUCUGCUCUCCCUACCACCCACCAAAAAAUGGGUUGGUAGAGAACACAAUCCAGAGGUUUGUACAGCUCCCAUAUGAGGAGCUUCAGGAACUACGUGAAACAAAAAGCCAAGUAACGCCCCAACAACAUCUUCUGUGGCUUCCUUUACUGUGGUCCUGGGACAAGUGAGCUGGUCUGUGCAAGAAUAUUUCAAGUCCUUGGUACCCACCAGUGACCAAGCAGCCAGAGUUCAGCAUUCCUCAGCCCCCUGCUUCCCUUGUGGAUCCUAGAGAGUUGCUACCCCAGCUAACUUAGAGACCAGCCACCCUGUUCACAAGCCAGGAAUACAUUGACGCCUGGACCUGUAUACCACCCUUUCAAUGCCUCUCCUGGAGAAAUAAACAGUCGUCUGCCCUUGGACAUGCCAUUCAAGCUCCGCCUCCACAGAAGGAGCUGCUCUCUGCACAACUUC